AUGGCAUACUCAGGAGUACAAAUUAUAGGGAAACUCCUUAGUUUCGCUCAUCCUCCAACAGCAGCCAAUUUCCAUGAAGCAUUGACUGUAGACUCAAAAAAGCGUUCUCUGACAGUACCCGGACCAGAGCUGAACCUGAUCAUGGGCUCUCAGCAGACAGAGAAGAUGUCUAGAGCCGGCACUCUUCCUAGUGAGGGCCUUCUCUGGCUCUUGCUUGUCAGCCAACCUGCUGAGCAGCAAGGAUUUUGUGUUUUUUGAACAAAGGUCACAUGGGGCCAGAAUGCAUUUCCCCGAUAUGUGGCCAAAUUAAGAACUCAUGAAUACUGAGUGUCUCAUACAUAUUUUAGUGUCACGAAUGUCAGGUAUUCUGGCCCUGUCAUUUCUUCCUAUUUAUGCACAUAUAUCCUACUUUAUCUUUCUAACACACCUCAGCUGUUACUACUUUCCUUAUCUGUGCUUAAAUAUAAGUUUCAUCCAUCCCAACUGUUUUGUUCUAUAGCUGAAUUGAAUAUCCUAAACAAUAUGGCAGAAGCACAUUACAGCCUUCGAAUGUGUCACAUGUUUUACUUACUUAUUUUGUUGAUGAUCUCUCUUACCCAACUGGAACAGAAGUGCCACGAACAAAGAAUUUUCAUCCGUGCCCUUCGCCACUGUGUCUCAGCGCAUGGACAUGUGCUUGGUACAAAGUAAAUACUUAAAAGAAUAAUGGUGGACAAAUUAAUGGAAUUUUGAAAACCAUGAAGAUAAAAUCAAACAGUGUAUGAACUGCUCUGGAAUGGGAGGGGCAAUGAGCUGGAACAGGAAAGGAUGGAGAAAGUGAAAGCCACAUCCUGCAGCCCUGGUCCUGCCAGAUGCCAAUCCCUCUCCAGGCCGGUGGGUGUGGGAGUCAUAGCGCUCAUUCUGAAACUUGCGGAGGUCACCUCUUAUGGGAAUGGUCACAUUUUUUUUUUCCUCUGCUCUCAAAACAGCUUUUGCUUUGUGCGUCUCUCUCACAGUAAAACCAGUUGUCAUCAUCUAUCUUGAAAUAUUUGUUCAAUGAACUGUCACAGUUGUACUGAGACUUCAAAGCCAUGGUGAGGACGGAUAUUUAAAAUGACCUCAGGUAUGUAUCCUGAUAAGGUUGUGUUUCACUCAGCCUUACAUGUGGAGGUUACAACUCAAGAACCCUGGGCAUAUAGGGCCUGAUCCUGGAGACCCCAGAUAGAGUCCCAAGUCAGGCUCCCUGCAUGGAGCCUGCUUCUCCCACUGCCUGUGUCUC
rnacentral:lncRNA from 12 species